rnacentral:rRNA from 1 species
UACGUAGGGUGCGAGCGUUAAUCGGAAUUACUGGGCGUAAAGCGUGCGCAGGCGGUUCGUUGUGUCCGUCGUGAAAGCCCCCGGGCUUAACCUGGGAACUGCGAUGGAAACUAGCGAGCUGGAGUGUGGCAGGAGGGGGGUGGAAUUCCGCGUGUAGCAGUGAAAUGCGUAGAGAUGCGGAGGAACACCGAUGGCGAAGGCAGCCCCCUGGGCUAACACUGACGCUCAGGCACGAAAGCGUGGGGAGCAAACAGG